rnacentral:lncRNA from 1 species
UUAAUAACAUGAUAGGUAUGCAUUCGAGGUCAAAACUGAUCCCAUUGGACCACUUUUAGAAAACAUGGUGCUUCCAUUUAUCGAAAUUGUUAGAUUUUUCAAUUUAUGCUUCCAUUGCAUCUUAGCACCAAUUUUUGUUAUUUCAUCAUUACACUUCUUGAGAACAUGUAUAUCCACUCAAGGUUGGCCCUGGCCCAAUGCCAACUAGGCCAUCAUCUAGAGAAAAAUCCAGCCCACAUCCAUUCAAAAUCCGCCCCAAUGCCUAAACAAACCAAAGGACUUUAGCUAGGAAUAGAGGAAAAGAAGUGUUAAUUUAUAUUUCCCAGUUUCGCCGACCACUGUCGGCACUGGAGGAUUCCAAGAAGAGACCACCACCGCCACUGGAGGAUGCCAAAUAGGAAAGAUAAGAGGUUGUUAAAGAAGAAAAAAAGAGAAGGUUUGUUACUUUCCAUUUUCUUCAAUAGUUUGUUUAGGAUGUUGAUUUGUGCCAUCAACACAUCCAAAUAGAUGUUCCCUAUGUUUUCUAUUUUGGUAUUUGAAUUUAUGUGGUCAAUCCAUUUAAAAAUAAUAAAUUUUCCCUAAAAACUGCU